rnacentral:tRNA from 1 species
GGGCGUUUAGCUCAGCUGGUUCAGAGCACUACCUCGACAAGGUAGGGGUCACUGGUUCGAAUCCAGUAACGCCCA